UACGGAGGGUGCAAGCGUUAAUCGGAAUUACUGGGCGUAAAGGGUGCGUAGGUUGUUAGUUAAGUUAUCUGUAAAAUCCCUGGGCUUAACCUGGGCAGGUCAGAUAAGACUGAUUGACUCGAGUAUGGGAGAGGGUAGUGGAAUUUCCGGUGUAGCGGUGAAAUGCGUAGAGAUCGGAAGGAACACCAGUGGCGAAGGCGGCUACCUGGCCCAAUACUGACACUGAGGCACGAAAGCGUGGGGAGCAAACAGG
rnacentral:rRNA from 1 species